UAACUAAUAAGCCCAAUAACUUAGCCCACUUCAAACAUUAAAACAAACCCAUUAAACAACCACAACCCAAUCGCUGCCACCACUCCCGCUCUCCCUCCUCCUGCCAGCGACGACGACAACCUGCGACCACCCCUGCAAAAUUCCGGCCGCACCCAGCUUCACACCGACAAUAAACAGGACUAGGAGGAACCGUGAUUAGGGAAGUUAUGACGCGAUUUCUCAAGAGAAAAGGGGUUGAACCACUUUUUUCGUCGGAUUCUUCUAACUGAAGACUAAGGAACGAAAGAAGAAGGAGCUAGUUCCGGAUCACAAACCAAGGCUCAAGAUCGAGGUAAAGCACCCGUAUGAUUGUCAUUGCGUCGCUCGGAUACGAACACACCUUGAUCACCCGUGAUGCGUUUCCGCAACUUUUGUAGUAACCUUAUUAGUUAAAGGCUUUUGUUAAAGUUAGUAGUGUUGAAGUUUUAAGUUUUAACUAGAUAUUUGUGAAUAUUUAAGUAUCUUAAACUUGAUGUUUUUGAAUCGGUAGUUUAAAUGUCAAGAUCUUCCUUAUGUU